UUGUCCAGGCAAAUCCGGAUAAUCAAGGCUGAGGUGUGAUGACGAGGCACUACGGUGCUGAAGUAACAAAUGCCCUGCUUCCAGGAAAAGCCUCUAAGCAUCAGGUAACAUUAAAUCGUACCCCAAACCGACACAGGUGGUCAGGUAGAGAAUACCAAGGCGCUUGAGAGAACUCGGGUGAAGGAACUAGGCAAAAUGGUGCCGUAACUUCGGGAGAAGGCACGCUGGUGUGUAGGUGA
rnacentral:rRNA from 1 species